rnacentral:misc_RNA from 1 species
GCCGCGAAAUUGUGGCCGAGUCAACAACGAACAAAGGGAGGCCGGGUUUGAAGACAAGAUAGGUGGUGAGGAAUAGAAGGGCAAUAAUUGAGAGGGUAACAAAGGAGAAAAAGAAAACACGGUGAAGAAGGAUGGGCCUAGUAGGGUGGUUAUAGGAAGUGGGUUCCAAAGUGCCAUAAACUGAGGAGAUUAGUACUCGCGGGCGGAAUGCAUAGGCAUGCGCAUCGUUGGUGUUCGUGUUGGUGGUAGUGGUGGCGGCGGCGGCGGCGGCUGGGUAGCCGG